rnacentral:rRNA from 1 species
UACGUAGGUGGCAAGCGUUGUCCGGAUUUACUGGGCGUAAAGGGCGUGCAGGCGGUCUGCUAAGUCUAGGGUGAAAGCUCCCGGCUCAACUGGGAGAGGUCCUUGGAUACUGGCGGACUUGAGGGAGGUAGAGGAGAGUGGAAUUCCCGGUGUAGUGGUGAUAUGCGUAGAUAUCUGGAGGAACACCGGUGGCGAAGGCGGCAUCCUGGACCGGUAUUGACGCUGAGGCGCGAAAGCCAGGGGAGCAAACGGG